rnacentral:rRNA from 2 species
AAUGACUCUCGGCAAUGGAUAUCUUGGCUCUUGCAUCGAUGAAGAACGUAGUGAAAUGCGAUACUUGGUGUGAAUUGCAGAAUCUCGUGAACCAUUGAGUCUUUGAACGCAAGUUGUGCCCGAGGCCUUGCGGUCGAGGGCACGCCUGCUUGGGCGUCAUUGC